UAUUAUAGUACACUUAACCAACAGCCGCAUGUGCGUUGUUUUUGUUGACAUUAUACUAAUAUUGUUAUAAGUAUAAAAGUGGGAUCAUAGCGGAUUUGUGUUGAAGUGCGCGUCUGACAGUGCCGGAGACGUGAAACGAGCUAAGCUAAAUUAAGCUAAACUAAGGUACGCUACGCUAAGCUAAGCUAGAAAGUGGAUAGCGGUCCUAACAGCAUUAAGUAACCGCGGUGGAGUAGCGUGUUUAGCUGACGGGAUUUAGGCAGCUACAGGCGGGCAGUGAGAGUCACACAGCGAGCUGGUGUGCAGGAGCUGCAGUUAAACAGUGCACUCUGUUAUUCACUGAUCACUCACACAGGCACAGAAGUGCUGAAGGCGUUUAGCUCACUGAACGCUACACCUGCACGCCGGCUUUUUAUGACUAGGAUUAUAAGUGAAUGUUCCAGUGUUAGAGCACUAACGCUAGCAAAACUAGUCGGGACAAACCAGCUAGAGCUUAGCUGACGUUUUAAUCAACCGGUGUCGAAGCUCAGUAGAUAACGGCAGAGUUUGGAGUUUUUACUGCUUUGAAUGCACACGUAAAGACACGCUAGUCUCUGGUCCAUUGAGCUGGCUUCGUCGAAAUGAUUGACAGAAAUGAUUGGAUAAACUGCGUCGGAGGAUCUGAUACACAAGUGGCGUGGUUCAUGUUUGGGAAAACGAAGGUCAUUUAACGUCAUGCUGCGAUCAUCGGCUCUGGUACUGUAUCCGCCACUUAAUGACCCCUGGCCCGUGUCUCUCUCUCAAAGAAGUUCCGAGCGGACUUUAGAUUUAAGUCGCGAGGCUUAUUUGAUUACCCGGCUGUAAAAAUGUGUCACUGUGCUUGUUUAUAUGGCACUAAAUAGUGAGAUAACAGCAUGUAUUAGGUGUUGUGAAAGUAUUGUUUUACUAUACUUGGCAGCAGUGAGAGGUACGAUGGUGGAAACGUGAAGCAAGACGGAAUUUGUCCAGCAGUAGAGAUGCUGAAAGGGCAUUUCUGCUGUGGGUGAAUGUGGCUGAGAAAAUGCUUGAUGAUAGAAAUAUUCAUCGUUUGAUAAGGUUCUUCUUCUGAAACACAACAAGCUGUGAUUGGUGACUGCGUAUAUCUGUGGAGUAUACAUGUCUGUUUAUUCUCCUGUGUGAAUUCAGCCAUAGCAUUGAGGAAAAAUAAUAGAAUAAACUAAACCAAACUAAAAUAAAGUCAGAGGAUAAGCUAAACUGUAGUUCUGUGUCCUUCCUAGAGCCGUGAUCCCAGUUGCAUUCUGCCACUCAAACGUUCUUACCGAUAUGUUUUUAUAAAGUGUGAGGUAUUGCCUUGCUGCCCAGCCCUUGUGUCACGUUGUAUAUCAAUUGCAGUUUGACACUUUGUUCAAGAUGCACAUUAUAUCAUUUUUAAAGACAAUAAAACAAGCCAAACUAUACCGAAAAAGCCAUUUACUUUCCACGGAAACAAUCUUCAAGAACAUGCUUGGAACAAAACAAAAAUUGAAAGACCGGUUUUUUUUUUUUUUUUUUGUUUUUUUUUUUA
ensembl:lncRNA